rnacentral:rRNA from 1 species
UACGUAGGGGGCAAGCGUUGUCCGGAUUAUUGGGCGUAAAGAGCGUGUAGGCGGUUUGGUAGGUCCGCUGUGAAAACUCGAGGCUCAACCUCGAGACGCCGGUGGAAACCAUCAGGCUAGAGUCCGGAAGAGGAGAGUGGAAUUCCUGGUGUAGCGGUGAAAUGCGCAGAUAUCAGGAAGAACACCCGUGGCUAAGGCGGCUCUCUAGUACGGUACUGGACGCUGAGACGCGAAAGCGUGGGGAGCGAACAGG